CAGCCGCCGCGGGAAUACGAAGGGUGCAAGCGUUAAUCGGAAUCACUGGGCGUAAAGCGUGCGUAGGCGGUUUGUUAAGUCUGUUGUGAAAUCCCCGGGCUCAACCUGGGAAUGGCAAUGGAUACUGGCAAGCUAGAGUGUGUCAGAGGAUGGUGGAAUUCCCGGUGUAGCGGUGAAAUGCGUAGAGAUCGGGAGGAACAUCAGUGGCGAAGGCGGCCAUCUGGGACAACACUGACGCUGAGGCACGAAAGCGUGGGGAGCAAACAGGAUUAGAUACCCGCGUAGUCCCUGUCUCUUAUAC
rnacentral:rRNA from 1 species